rnacentral:rRNA from 1 species
UACGUAGGGGGCAAGCGUUGUCCGGAAUCAUUGGGCGUAAAGAGCUUGUAGGCGGUUUGUCGCGUCUGCUGUGAAAUCUCAAGGCUCAACCUUGAGCUUGCAGUGGGUACGGGCAGACUAGAGUGUGGUAGGGGAGACUGGAAUUCCUGGUGUAGCGGUGAAAUGCGCAGAUAUCAGGAGGAACACCGAUGGCGAAGGCAGGUCUCUGGGCCACUACUGACGCUGAGAAGCGAAAGCAUGGGGAGCGAACAGG